GACGAACGCUGGCGGCGUGCCUAAUACAUGCAAGUAGGCCGCAGUUGCGAACGGGUGAGUAACGCGUAGGUAACUACCUAUUAGAGGGGGCUAACUAUUGGAAACGAUAGCUAAUCCCGCAUACUAGUAGAUGGACCUGCGUUGUAUUAGCUAGUAGGUAGGGUAAUGGCCUACCUAGGCAACGAUACAUAGCCGACCGGGUAGGGUGAUCGGCCAACCUGGGACGUAGACACGGCCAAGACUCCCUACGCAGGCAGGAGCAGGGAAAGUUUGGGAAUGGGGGGAACCCUGAACGAGCAAAGCCGGGUUAAGGAAGAAGGUUUUCGGGUCUUAAAUCUAUGUGGUGAAGGAGGCGGUACUUAACCAGAAAGGGACGGCUAACUACGUGCCAGCAGCCGCGGUAAUAC
rnacentral:rRNA from 1 species